rnacentral:lncRNA from 13 species
UUCACUGAUUCUUUUGUGUUGUCCGACAGGUGGUUUCCUAAGCCCUGAUUCAUCUCCGAACGUGCUGAACGAUGGUCGAUUACUACAAAGUGCUUGAUGUACAGCGGAACUCUACUAGCGCUGACAUAAAAAAAGCGUAUAGAAAGUUGGCAUUAAAAUGGCAUCCAGACAAGAAUCCGGAAAAUUUGGAAGAGGCGAA